rnacentral:tRNA from 1 species
GGGAUACAGCUCAGUUGGUAGAGUGCUUGCCGCACAUGCACAAGGCCCUGGGUUCAAUCCCCAGCAUCACA